rnacentral:rRNA from 1 species
GACGGAGGGUGCUAGCGUUGUUCGGAUUUACUGGGCGUAAAGGGCGCGUAGGCGGCGUGACAAGUCACUUGUGAAAUCUCCGGGCUUAACCCGGAGCGGCCAAGUGAUACUGUCGUGCUAGAGUGCGGAAGGGGCUACUGGAAUUCCUGGUGUAGCGGUGAAAUGCGCAGAUAUCAGGAGGAACACCGGUGGCGAAGGCGGGUCUCGUGGGCCGAUACUGACGCUGAGGAGCGAAAGCGUGGGGAGCGAACAGG